CGCCUGUUUAUCAAAAACAUCGCCUCUUGCUAACAAACCAUGUAUUAGAGGUCCCGCCUGCCCCGUGACUAUAUGUUUAACGGCCGCGGUAUUAUGACCGUGCAAAGGUAGCGUAAUCACUUGUCUCCUAAAUAGAGACCCGUAUGAAUGGCAUGACGAGGGUUUGACUGUCUCCCGCACCCAGUCAAUGAAAUUGAUCUGCCCGUGCAGAAGCGGACAUAAAAACAUAAGACGAGAAGACCCUAUGAAGCUUUAGGCCGAAGAUCAAACAUGUAAAGAGACUAAAAACUCAAAAGACAAAUAAAUAGAUUUAAACUGAUUGUGAUAUGAUCUAAGUACCUUCGGUUGGGGCGACCACGGGGGAAAACAAAGCCCCCGAAUGGAAUGAAUUUAUUUCCAAGACAAGAACCACAAUUCUAAGCAACAGAAAAUCUGACCAUUAUAAUGACCCAGGAAUAGACUACAUUCCUGACCAAUGAACCAAGUUACCCUAGGGAUAACAGCGCAAUCCUUUCCCAGAGGCCAUAUCGACGAAAGGGUUUACGACCUCGAUGUUGGAUCAGGACAUCCUAAUGGAGCAGCCGCUAUUAAGGGUUCGUUUGUUCAACGAUUAAUAGUCCUACGUGAUCUGAGUUCAGACCGG
rnacentral:rRNA from 1 species